ensembl:lncRNA
CUUUUUCAUAUUAUUAAAAAUUAGUCUGCUUCAUUAUCCGCCGUCAUUUGUAUUCUGCAAUAUGACAAAAUAAACCCGUUUAGCUGCUCAAAUGUUGUAUUAUUUCUUCUGUCACGAGUGUAAACAGCCGGUUUGUUCUUCUUCAUGAGGACUCGCGCAUUAACCGUGACGUCUCUGCCAUCUAGUGAGCUGGAAGAUGAACUGCUCCUCGACAACGACAACAAGUAAAGAGACUCUCAACAUUUAAAGUAUGGUUUAACACGUGCGAAUCAAACUUAUAUAAAUAUAUUUAUAUUGAUUUAUUCAUGUAGAAAUAAUAACAAGUCUAAGAGGAGGACGAAGCCAAAUACGUGAAUGAAGCACUCAGCGAGCUCUAUGAGACCAGCAGCAGAUGCCAGCAGAUGCGACAUCUGGAGCUCAUGUAUGGCCCUGAUGCAUGCAAAUACCAGAAUACCCUCAGCCUCCAACUAAAGUCGACGCCUCCACCUACAACCCAGCCUCCACCCGCUACAUU